GCUUAUUUGAAAAAAAAAAGUCAAGAAAAUUGAUAAAAAGGCGAAGGGUGGUUAAAUAAAUAUGCUUAUUGGAACACUGCAGAUUGAGAGAGAGGAAGUGAAGUACACUGGUGUUUGUCGAUCAGUGGUGGGUCUUCGUUUGCACCGUCGGAGGUCUCAAUUUUAGAAGCCAUUUUCACCGGCGUUGGUCUAGAUGAGAAGGAGUUUUCCGGCGUGGGUAGUCAUCGAUUUGCAGGGUAUUUCAGCGUAUAGAUCUUCCAUUCGAAGGCUUGGAUUAUUUUACUUUUGCAUUCCAUCUUUAUGCGGAACUCUCAUCGGUUAGGCCAACAAGAACGUAGUCCAAGCAUAGUGUUCAUUUCCCUCGCCUCAACCUUUAAUAACAAUACCUUUGCAAAAAAAAAAAAAAUGCAAAAAAAUGCAAAAAAAAAAAAACUCUUAUUGGUUAAGAAAUUAGAAUAAAUUUGAAGCAUAUCUUGUUUUUCUCUUAUAAUUUUUGGGAAAUACAUGGGAUUGGUUUCUCUUAAUUAUUCUUCAGGCCCAAAUCUUUGAUUGAUUUAACUCGAAAUGCUUAUUGACUUAGAUCCCUCGUUAUUUUUCUAUUUUAGGGCUGGGAAUUAGGCUUACUCCCAUUACUGUAAAGAGGUCUUGAAAUGAAUUUCAAGGAAAUUUUUAAGCUAAUUUUUUUCCCUUUCAGAUUUGAUUAAACUUGUCUGAUUAUGUUUUGUGGGUUGGUCUGAAAUGGGGGCAACAACAAUUAAAAGUUGAAAAAGCUGUCAAGCUUUCAAUCUACACAACUCUAUAUGUACAUCACAUAAUGACCGUUUUUAUUCAGGAAACGGUCUUCUCGUGUUUAGAUGGGUGUUUAUGUUUUCCCCUCAUUAUCCUCUCUUUUUAAGAACUCUUUUGUUGCAGUUGGAAUCAAUAUUAGCUUUAUGGUUGCUAUCUCUAUAUAUAAAAGACUCUUGAAUUGUGUGGGAAAAGUAUCUGAGAUGAAAGUAAAAUUGUUAUAUGACAAAGUUAUGAAGGGACCACAAGUGAAGUAUGUUUCUGGAAAAAUCAUUUCACUCAGAUUAUGUGCUAGCUUCUCCCCUAAAGUUCUUGAAAGAGUAACAGAGCUACUAGCAAAAGCUUCUUGUUGGAUGCAAAUCUGUUAGUUUUAGGGCAUUUAUUUGCAUCAAGUUCUCUGGAGUACACCGAUGCCUUGGAGUGCAUAUAUCUAAGUCUGUAAGCUCGUGUCGAUCGAGGAGCAAAAGUUGCUGAAGAGAUAGGUGAGAAAUUGGAGGUUUUCGGUCCAAGUUCGAGUAAAAUGCAGUAAAGGGGAGCCUUCUGGAUUGCAAGUGUUGCGAUGCUAGGGAGCCAAGGGAGACGGACAACAUCCUUAGCAUUGCAACGCUCCAAACUUCAUAGGCGUGCGCGAGGAGUCUGACGGUCGUGGGUUCAAGUCUCCUUUCUGGUGUUUGCAAUAGUUUUUUCUUGAUUGUAUGUAAUUUUAUUUUUAUUAAUUAAAUUAAUAUACAUUAAUCAUAUUAAUUUAAUUAUUUUUUAAGUUA